CUUCCGGCGGGGGCGGCCGAGCUGGGGCGGGCCUCCUUCCCGCGGGCCGGCGGCGCCUCGCCCCGCUCCGGGCCGGGCCGGGCCGGGCCUGCUCCCCGCGGGGAGUAAGUGCGCAGCGCCGGGCCCGUCUGGGCCGCGAAACUGCUCCUGGAUGGAGCAGCCGGUCUGUCUCAUUCGAAGUCGAGACUGCAGGACUGCUUUCUCGGAAAGCUUUCGAGAUAGGUUUUGAUAAACGUUCUCUGAAGCACCCAAAUCGUGUCCAAAAGAAGGUCAUUAUUUCUUAUCAGACGUAUCUCAUCUUUUCCCUUAAAUACACUUCACAUAGCGCAGGUUUUUGGAAAAAUAAUUGCUCCUGGGAGAACGUGAUGAUAAACUGCAAUUGUGUGCCCAGCUUUGGCAGCCGCCCCGAAGAUGAGGUGUGCUGUGAUGGACUCACACUUCACACCACAAAUAACAGCCAGCCCUUCCUGUGCCGCUCCUGAUCUGUGGCGUUUUUCUCCGUGUGAGAUGAAAAACCAAAAACUUGAUAGAUAACAUCAGAGAGACAGAACGGCGGUAACGCACAUUGUCGCGCUGGUUUGGUGUCAAAGCUCUACAGCCACCACUACAGAUCAGAAAGCAGUUCCACGAUGAGAAAAGAUCGCUUUUGGAUACCUCACCCCGCAGUCACGGGGGAUUUCGGGAGCUGAGGGUAAGUCCCCAAAACCAGGCACAGCAGAGCAGGUUGGCUUCCAUCUCAUACCUUAGGGAAGGUUUUUAUUGCCCGGGGUGAACCAAGAGGGGGUGCACACUACAAAGCCGUUCUGCAUUUCCAUUACAAACUUCUGUUUUAAAAAUGAAUAAUUUGUCCACUAAAGUUUACCUUUGCCAUACAAAUACUUUGUCCUUAGAAGUAGUAAAAAUGGUACUGCGGUUUUAGGGGGGAAAAAAAAAAAAAGAACUUAGACAUGAAAAAACUCAGACACGUUCUGCUAAGUAGGAUUCCAUCCUUCCACUGCAAAGAGAGUACCUAUCUAAAUGCAAUAUGGACCAAAAAAUAAUUAUAAUUAAUAAAUCAAAACCAAUGCUCCAAAGGCUCAUGGAAUUGAGAUUAAAGAGCCCUGAAUCACACCAGAAUACUGAUUGAAAAAUUUUCCAUAUUUGAAAAUUAUGGUUAUCUUGUCCGUUACCUGCAACCAUGACACAGCUGCCAUAAAAUGACCACAACAGUACCUAUCACAGGUACAGCCACUGCACACACGCUUCUGACUUCCCUAUGCUUUGAAGAGCUGUGCAGUCAGUCUCACAGCAAGAAGCAUGUAAAGCAAGCAACAGAUACGGUCUGGUUUUUGGGUGGUGCUGCAUGGAGCCAGGAGUCAGGCUCAAUGAUGGGUCCCUUGCAGGUCACUUCCAACUCAAAAUAUGAACAGAUGCUGCUGACAGAGAUUCACUGGAAUACGGAUGAAGAGUAGGCACCCCAAUUUAACAGUUUUUUUUUUUUUUACUAAAGCACUAACUGAAAGAAAUCACGUGGUCUACAGGUAACAUGCCAUUCUUUCUCUUGCUAAACAUUGCACAAGGAUGAAUUUGGACUCAGGUAGGUAUGCUGCUAUUUAAACUAAACCAUAGUGAAUGUGAGCCUUAGAUCAACAACAUCCUUAAGGGGUUUCAGCAGUCAAGACAGUAUACUGUUUACAUUACUAACAUAAGGAAAGUGCAGCUCACAUUGAGAAGGGAGAAAUGAAGAGUCAUCCCCGUGGUUAAUUACAAUUAAGACAACAACACAAUGAGACUCCAGUUAAAUACAUAUAUAGCAGAAUGAGCAACUGGUAUGGGUGGAAAAACCACCUAGAGGUAAAGCUCUGCAGCAAACCAGACUGAAGUUGCAGUGCAGUAUAGCAGGAAAACUCAAAGGUGCCCUCUCCUCUGCGUGCCUUGUUUGUGUGGCAGCUAUGGGGACAGCGUGCCCCAGAGAACCAGGAGGACAGACUGUCUGCUUAAAGGUAACUGGACCUCCUGGUGCAGCUUAUGGAAAGAUCACAUCAUGUAGUCGGUUUUUAAGCUCAGGGAAAAGUACUUCGGGCGUAUCAGUUAUGAAAGCAAAUAAGUGAGAGGAAACCACAGAAGUGAGACCGAGCUAUGCAAGAGUCGUUCUAUCCCUGCCUUUUUUGAGGAAGUUAUUCAAUGUUUUAUGGUAAAAAAUUGAAAUAAAACAAGUCAAACCACAUGUAACAUAAGGAGUAAUCAGCGGCUGCCAUUUUGCAGACAGUUGGUCACUUCAGCUGCAGCUGAGACAGAGCUUCUAUAGCUCCUUCUAUUGCAAACAACUUCCAGCUCAAAGCAAAACAGUCUGUGAAGCAAACACUGAAGAAAUGCAAAGGGUUUCUGUGUUGUGACAGAAGUUUGGGCCCAACAGUUCCCAGGCUUACGGAAAGGUCCCAGAAAUGUCAACGUGUACUUCUCCAAGGAAUGUCCAAGGAAGGCAGGCCUCCCAGAGCCACCACACCAGCACCAGUGAGCGUUUGGGGGUAGAAACAAAGAAGAGCAAGCAGAUGGGCCUGAUACAAAUGUUUCAGGUGGGGGCAAGGAAGCAGACCGAACAAACUGAACUGCAGUGGACUUCACACGCCCGGCUUUUUUCAGCUCUAAGAAAUGUACCCAGUUCAGAUCCGUGCUCCCUCCCUCCCACCAAACUUUGACUUAAGCAAGUCAAACAAAGAGACUUUGUUCAAUACAGAACCAUGUUCGUAGGCAGAGCUAUGACAGAUUGCAGCAAGAUAAGCACAGCAGAGGGCGCAGCUGAAGCGCUGAGACAAAUUCACUUCAUAAAUCUGCAGCGGGUAAGAGAGGCCUCGCUGCUUUCUCAGGAUCUCUCUGCAGUAGGGCCUUACGAAACACACAGGCAGGAAUCCCCCACAGACCUUGCCAACCAGUUGGCAAACCAGUUUGAGUCAGAAGUCCCUCAGCAGCUGCUCCACAGCUAAACACACUGAUCUUGCCAGUUAGGAGGCAGCACAGGUGUUGCACACUUGGGUUGUUUCUCAUAUCUCUGACCAACUUGUGAGAAAUGAGCAGCAGAGUGUAAAAUGUUCUCCUCCCACAGCACGCACACAGCAGCCACGCUGACAGAGCAGGAGGGGAACACGGCGUUAUACCUUACUUAGGAAUGCUCACGCGCUGUGUAAGCGGUGUGAUAAUUAAAUUGUUAGUCACGUUGACAAGUGGGUGGAAGAGGCUGAAAACCUCUGAUGCAGUUUGCCACAGGCAAUUAUAGAUUUACUAGCGAUGCAUCUGUCACACACAAAAGAUGGGCUUGGACCCAAGUAUCUGCAGUAGCUCAACUUUAACCCACUUCCCAGAAGUAAAAUGGAAUGAACAGACUGCUCUGCAUCCACAGCACAGCACAGACCCACCUCCAACCUACCGCAUGGGAACAGCUGUACAAUUUCACAUACUCAAGUAUUCAUCCAAGCAAGAACUUGUAGACAUUAAUCCUUAUCCAAAGAUCUGGGAAUUUCCGCUCUUGAAAUUCUGAUAUUACCACCUAGUUAUGUAGAACUUGCAAGGCCUCAGCUCUGCCAUGUGACAUCUCACUUGGUCACUGCACGACAAAAGGAUCACUGGCCCAGCAGAAGUGAUCUGACAGCAGAAGCAAGUAAAUACCUAAUCACUCCCUUCGCUAAGCGUCUGUCACUCACAAGGACUAACCCAUCUGCCUGACAAUUUCAACUUUCCUCUCAAGCACAAAACUGACAGUAAUUUGUCUUAACAAACCUGGGAACCGACAGUGAAAAACUGAACCUUGUGUCCUAUGGCACCAGCCCUAUUUCACUACCAGCCACGUGUGAAACAAAUUGGCAGUCUCUAGACCUCUCCAAAUAGAGGGAAGAUGAUUAGGAAGAAUGGAGGGGAAAAGGGGAAACAAAAGGUAACUUCUACUAGUAACAUCUUUUGGAAUGACCAGCAUUUGUUGUGCCAAUCCUACUCCUAGGAGAAACCCGUACACCUGGCACCCCACCACAGUCUUCAAUUCUUCAGAAAUGAACUUCUGCUGGAGAAACUGGAAGGCAUACCGGGGGUCUGUGUUCCUUCUGCUUCCUGUGACAGCUCAGCCUGUAGGAAACAGCAGUCAGUAGGAACAUGCACAGAGGACAACACACAAAGACAACUGAAGUGGAUUUUUUUUUUCCCCAAAGAAAUUUUAUUUGAGAAAAAUCAAAAAAAUCCCCCAACCAGUCAUUACAAGGUCAAUCCGUAUGAGUCCCCCACAUCUGUUCCCCAUAACCACAGCAGCACAGUGAGGAUAACGUGCAGCACUAUAAUGAUACCAUAACAGUCACCUGGGGAACGUAAGGCUUCACCACCAUUUUUGAGAAAAAGGUUAUCUUUGUAUUCUGGUAAGGAUGGGGAGAGGAUGUCAUAAUAGACAAAGACAGGGAAAGCCCCUUGUGUGUACAGUCUUUUCAACUUGUAUAAAAACAAAAAUCAAAAAACCUUAACAGAUCUACAGGCUUCAAACUGUAAGACCUAAAGCUACCUUCAAAUGACUUGUAAUUCAGUCCUGUGGCAUCGCUGCUGUCCCGCACUGUAACAGCUUUCAAAAGUGUACAAGGAUAGUGUGGAUGCAAAGGGAGAGGAGUGGACUUGGAUUCUUAAUAUGGCUUUAUUAAAAAAAAAUUAAAAGCAAUAUAAGCACUUGCCAGCAGAACUAACAACUCCAGGAUCUCAGCAAUGGCAAAGAAGUGACAAAGCACUAACUUAUUUAGAUGACUGUAGGUCAUCUUUUCAUCCUCUUUCCCAUAGCCUCACCCUGGACAACUGUUUCCCUUCUGGUAACAGAUCAGAUUCAAGUUAGAAAACAUGAAUGCUUUUUUUUUUUUUUGCUUUUUUUUCCCCCCCUUUUUAAAACAUGGUAGGCUGGGCCCAGGGCUACAAUAACCUUUUCCCAUGCCAGAAGGGUCGAGGCACCUGAGACCAGAAAGCUGUGCUGCCGAACCGUUUGCUCUGAAGGAAUGCAGAGAAGGCUUAAGAAUUUUAAUCACUGCCUAAAAUCUGCAGCAUGCAAGUCCAGGAAGUGAACCUGUCUGUUUUUCCUCAGCCUUUCUUAUUCAACACAAUUGCAUCUGGACAGCUGAGAAACUAUGAAUGGCUGCUUGCUCUCACCGUGGUACCAGAGUAGCAGUUCUGCAGAGGGCGCAGUUCAGAGACCCCUCAGAUGUAGCAUUAGCAUAUUCCUACUCUGCACUGCUUUUCAAGUUCAUUCAUGUCCUUCCAACUCCUCUGCCAACUGCAAAGCAACCCUUGCAUCCUCAGAGCUCACAGUAGGGUAUGGGCCUUUGUGCCGCACAACAGUGACAGCAGCCCACCUUGCUUUGAUGUCUCAGAAAAUGAGGUUCAGCCACCUGCCUGCAGAAUAAACAUUACACUGCUAGAUGAAAAAAGUCUCCGGCUCAAUUUAAGAUCAAGUUUCUUAGCAUAACCUGCUCCAAUUUGCUCUGUGACUGUAUCUAACUGAGGCCUCUUCUCUGCACAAAAGGCUGCCAAUGACCAUGGCUUUCAGAAAACCUGCUGCAUCAUUUUGGAACAAGAGAGGCAAAUCCAACACAAACACAUGGCCUAAGGACAGGACCAAGGCUGGACAGCCAAUGUGAGCAAAGCAGGCUUCUCCUUUCCAAGCUCAAACAUAUUACCAAGCCCUCCUUCCAAGGCUCCCCCUUCCUCCAGACUGAAUCAUCAUAUGCUUAAGUGCCUUGACCCAU